AGAGUUUGAUCAUGGCUCAGGAUGAACGUUGGCGGUGUGCCUAAUACAUGCAAGUCGAACGGAGUUAAUAGCAAUAUUGACUUAGUGGCGAACGGGUGAGUAACGCGUUGGUGAUCUGCCUCGAAGUGUGGAAUAACGUUCCGAAAGGAUCGCUAAUACCGCAUGUGCUCUCGAUUUUUAGAAAGUUGAGAGUAAAGGAUUUAUUCGCUUCGAGAGGAGCCUGCGUCCCAUCAGCUGGUUGGUAGGGUAACGGCCUACCAAGGCUAUGACGGGUAGGGGACCUGAGAGGGUGGCCCCCCACAAUGGAACUGAAACACGGUCCAUACACCUACGGGUGGCAGCAGUAGGGAAUAUUAGAAAUGGACGAAAGUCUGAUCUAGCAACACCGCGUGUGCGAAGAAGGCCUUCGGGUCGUAAAGCACUUUUUGGAAGGAAUAGGAAGGAAUGUACUUCCAGAAUAAGUCUCGGCUAACUACGUGCCAGCAGCCGCGGUAACACGUAGGAGGCAAACGUUAUCCGGAUUUACUGGGCGUAAAGCGCGUGUAGGUGGUACUGUAAGUAGGGCGUGAAAGCUCCCGGCUCAACUGGGAGAGGCCGUUCUAAACUGCAGAACUAGAGGAUGGUAGAGGGAGGUGGAAUUCCAGGUGUAGCGGUGGAAUGCGCAGAUAUCUGGAGGAACACCAGUGGCGAAGGCGGCCUCCUGGACCAUUCCUGACACUCAGACGCGAAAGCUAGGGUAGCAAACGGGAUUAGAGACCCCGGUAGUCCUAGCCCUAAACGAUGUAGACUAGGCGUCGGUGGUUUAAUCACCAUCGGUGUCCAAGCUAACGCGAUAAGUCUACCGCCUGGGGACUACGGCCGCAAGGUUAAAACUCAAAGGAAUUGACGG
rnacentral:rRNA from 1 species